CCUACGGGAGGCUGCAGUAGGGAAUAUUGCUCAAUGGGGGAAACCCUGAAGCAGCAACGCCGCGUGGAGGAUGAAGGUUUUCGGAUUGUAAACUCCUUUUGUUAGAGAAGAUAAUGACGGUAUCUAACGAAUAAGCACCGGCUAACUCCGUGCCAGCAGCCGCGGUAAUACGGAGGGUGCAAGCGUUACUCGGAAUCACUGGGCGGAAAGAGCGCGUAGGCGGGAUAGCAAGUCAGAUGUGAAAUCCUAUGGCUUAACCAUAGAACUGCAUUUUAAACUGUUAUUCUAGAGUAUGGGAGAGGUAGGUGGAAUUCUUGGUGUAGGGGUAAAAUCCGUAGAGAUCAAGAGGAAUACUCAUUGCGAAGGCGACCUGCUAGAACAUAACUGACGCUGAUGCGCGAAAGCGUGGGGAGCAAACAGGAUUAGAUACCCCAGUAGUC
rnacentral:rRNA from 1 species